rnacentral:rRNA from 1 species
UGGGGAAUAUUGGACAAUGGGGGACCGGUAGCAUCCAGCCAUGCCGCGCUGUGUGAAGAAGGCCUUAUGGUUGUAAAGCACUUUAAGCGAGGAGGAGGCUCUUUUGGUUAAUACCCAAGAUGAGUGGACGUUACUCGCAGAAUAAGCACCGGCUAACUCUGUGCCAGCAGCCGCGGUAAUACAGAGGGUGCGAGCGUUAAUCGGAUUUACUGGGCGUAAAGCGUGCGUAGGCGGCUUUUUAAGUCGGAUGUGAAAUCCCCGAGCUAACUUGGGAAUUGCAUUCGAUACUGGGAAGCUAGAGUAUGGGAGAGGAUGGUAGAAUUCCAGGUGUAGCAGGUGAAAUUGCGUAGAGAUCUUGGAGGAAUACCGAUGGCGAAGGCAGCCAUCUGGCCUAAUACUGACGCUGAGGUACGAAAGCAUGGGGAGCAAACA